UACAGAGGGGGCAAGCGUUAUUCGGAAUUAUUGGGCGUAAAGGGCGCGUAGGCGGCUUGGCAAGUGGAAGGUGAAAUCCCUCGGCUUAACCGAGGAACUGCCCUCCAAACUGCUUUUGCUUGAGGCCGGGAGAGGCGAGUGGAAUUCCCAGUGUAGCGGUGAAAUGCGCAGAUAUCAGGAGGAACACCGGUGGCGAAGGCGGGUCUCUGGGCAACAACUGACACUGAGAGACGAAAGCUAGGGGAGCGAAUGGG
rnacentral:rRNA from 1 species